rnacentral:rRNA from 1 species
GACGAACGCUGCGGCGUGCUUAACACAUGCAAGUCGAACGAAAAGAUGAAAGAGCUUGCUCUUUCCGGAAUUGAGUGCAAACGGGUGAGUAACACGUAAACAACCUGCCACAGGAUGGGGCAACAGACGGAAACGACUUGCUAAUACCGAAUAAGUUCCAAGAGCCGCAUGGCCCAUGGAAGAAAAGGUGGCCUCUACCUGUAAGCUAUCGCCUGAAGAGGGGUUUGCGUCUGAUUAGCUGGUUGGAGGGGUAACGGCCCACCAAGGCGACGAUCAGUAGCCGGUCUGAGAGGAUGAACGGCCACACUGGAACUGAGACACGGUCCAGACUCCUACGGGAGGCAGCAGUGGGGAAUCUUCCGCAAUGGGCGAAAGCCUGACGGAGCAACGCCGCGUGAGUGAUGACGGCCUUCGGGUUGUAAAACUCUGUGAUCCGGGCGAAAAGGCAGAGUCGAAGACAAACUGCAUGACGGUACGGAACAAGC